rnacentral:rRNA from 1 species
GCCAGCUUGCUGGGCGGAUUAGUGGCGAACGGGUGAGUAAUACGUGAGUAACCUGCCCUUGACUCUGGGAUAAGCCUGGGAAACUGGGUCUAAUACUGGAUACUACCUCUUACCGCAUGGUGGGUGGUGGAAAGGGUUUUACUGGUUUUGGAUGGGCUCACGGCCUAUCAGCUUGUUGGUGGGGUAAUGGCUCACCAAGGCGACGACGGGUAGCCGGCCUGAGAGGGUGACCGGCCACACUGGGACUGAGACACGGCCCAGACUCCUACGGGAGGCAGCAGUGGGGAAUAUUGCACAAUGGGCGGAAGCCUGAUGCAGCGACGCCGCGUGAGGGAUGACGGCCUUCGGGUUGUAAACCUCUUUCAGUAGGGAAGAAGCGAGAGUGACGGUACCUGCAGAAGAAGCGCCGGCUAACUACGUGCCAGCAGCCGCGGUAAUACGUAGGGCGCAAGCGUUGUCCGGAAUUAUUGGGCGUAAAGAGCUCGUAGGCGGUUUGUCGCGUCUGCUGUGAAAGCCCGGGGCUCAACCCCGGGUCUGCAGUGGGUACGGGCAGACUAGAGUGCAGUAGGGGAGACUGGAAUUCCUGGUGUAGCGGUGAAAUGCGCAGAUAUCAGGAGGAACACCGAUGGCGAAGGCAGGUCUCUGGGCUGUUACUGACGCUGAGGAGCGAAAGCAUGGGGAGCGAACAGGAUUAGAUACCCUGGUAGUCCAUGCCGUAAACGUUGGGCACUAGGUGUGGGGGACAUUCCACG